UACGAAGGGGACUAGCGUUGUUCGGAAUCACUGGGCGUAAAGCGCGCGUAGGCGGACCUGCAAGUCGGGGGUGAAAGCCCGAGGCUCAACCCCGGAACUGCCUUCGAUACUGCGGGUCUCGAGUCCGGGAGAGGUGGAGUGGAAUUCCGUAGUGUAGAGGUGAAAAUGCGCAGAUAUCAGGAAGAACACCUAUGGCGAAAGCAGCUCCUCUGGGACGGUACUGACGCUGAGACGCGAAAGCGUGGGGAGCAAACA
rnacentral:rRNA from 1 species